rnacentral:lncRNA from 1 species
AUGUCCCAUCUCCUGCUGCCACAUGUGCAGGCAUAUGCAGGCCUGAACCCUGAGGUUCAUCGGAGUAGCCAGCUCUCUAACAGCAAUGACUUCCCCCAUCUCCAACUGCAGCAAGCUGAGCACAGCCCAGGCGUGUUGUAUGCAGCAGGCGGCUUAUAAGUGUUGUAUCCAGCAGGCGGCUUAUAUUGCAGCAGCUUCUGGCUGAGUCUCCAGUUCCCAACUCCCUGCAGAGGCACGGGGACUUAUGCACAACUGCUUCUGGUUUUCUAUAUUCUCUCAGGGAAUCUGAAGUAUUGGCUACAGAUCCAGGCUUGCCUGCCACUUCAAGGUACAGAGUGCCUUUAUAAGCUGGCCCUGAGAAAUGUCCAGUGUGUAGCUUCCACUUGUGCAUCCGGAGCUGUCACCCUGGACGAUCAGUCUUGGAGUGUGCAUUCAAUAAACCAACCCUGUUUAACUGA